UUAUGCAUCAUUAACAAGGACCGCACUACAGCUCAGUCACACAGAAGCUGCUCCCAGGAUUUCAGUAUCUUGAACUACAUAUACGAAAGUGGGUGUUGAGAAAUCAUUGACAGACACAAUGGAUGGACUGUGUGGCCAAAUACACUCCAGGCUCUUCUGUGCAAAACAGUUAACUGCUACAGUCUCAGGUGACUGGACUUUAUGAGCUAAGGCAUCAGUGGAGAACUGAAUGUUCAAGAGAACAACUGGAAAGGCAAAGUUCAGAGCCUCAACUGCACAUCUGCUCCACCUUCAGAUGUGAGCUGACUAACAUGGCUAAGGGCAGACAUACAAAAAUAUUUGCUUCAUGGCUGGAGAAGAUGAAAUCCAGGCCCCACAGAAGGCUGCUGAAGUUACCAUGGAUUUCUGUCGGCUGAUCCCAAAUCCAGUGAAAUCAAGGGGAGACCAUGCAUGAAGAUCAGACAUGCCAGCUGCUCCACGCAGGCACUGCUUUGCUGAAACCGAAGGAGCCACAUCACUUCACACCAGAAGUAAUGCUGCGCAGAGAUUCUCAGAAGCAUGGAGCUACCCAAAUGCUGACUCGCCUGCUGAACCUUCAGGCAUCUUCCUGCCUACAAAAGUCUUUCCAUCAUUUCACCUCAUCUUUCUGACUUGCUUGUAUUUACCUGACUCAGCUACUCCAGACAGGGCUGUAAAUACCCUCAUCAGCUGGAGCAAGAAGUAGAUCAGGCAGACAACGUUGUUCUUUACCAAAUAUUGCAGUAUGUGCUAUAGGACAGACAAGAUCAGGAUCAUGGGCUUUAUUUUUAAUGAAAAUGGCUUUUGACUGCACAGUUAGGUGCAGCCCUUUGUAACUGAAGCGUGGGCAUCAGACAGCACAAAUGCAUGCUUUUACUUAGGCAAAACCAUGCAGAUGCACCUGGCAUUACCUUUUGAACUCUCCCAAAUACAUAGCAUGAACUAACUGUGCAUUACACCGGUCUAUGUAUACACUUAAUGGGAAAUGUUCUGCUACAUGCUUAAAAUCAGCCGGGUGGAGAAAUUGAGUGCAGCUAGAUGAACCAGUUUGCACAAACAAAACACACUGGAGAUUUUGGCUAUCCUCUUGCUCUGGAAGGUAGCAUUGUGUGGCAGUGAGCAGAAGACCCAACGAUACAGUGCCAAGCGUAUCUCAGAGAUAACAGCCAGAACCCUGGGAGGACAGGAUGUGCGAGGCACUUAAAAUCUUAUAAGGUUGCUGUUAAAACUAAAAAAAAUAGCAAAAUUGCUGUUAAAGUC